rnacentral:rRNA from 1 species
UACAUAAGAUGCGAACGUUGUCCGGAAUUAUUGGGCGUAAAGGGCUCAUAGGCGGUUUGUCGCGUCGGGAGUGAAAACCAGGUACUUAACACUUGGCUUACUUUCGAUACGAACAAACUGGAAAUAUGCAAGGGAGAACGGAAUUCCUGGUGUAGCGGUGAAAUGCGCAAAUAUCAGGAAGAACACCGGUGGCGAAGGCGGUUCUCUGGGCAUUACCUGACGCUGAAAAGCGAAAGUGUGGGGAGCGAACAGG